rnacentral:rRNA from 1 species
UACAGAGGGUGCAAGCGUUAAUCGGAAUUACUGGGCGUAAAGCGUGCGCAGGCGGUUCGUUGUGUCGGCGGUGAAAGCCCCGGGCUCAACCUGGGAAUGGCCGUUGAAACUGGCGAACUGGAGUGUGGCAGAGGGGGGUGGAAUUCCGCGUGUAGCAGUGAAAUGCGUAGAGAUGCGGAGGAACACCGAUGGCGAAGGCAGCCCCCUGGGCUGACACUGACGCUCAGGCACGAAAGCGCGGGGAGCAAACAGG